UGCCUCGCCCUAUACAUCAGAUCUAGAUGUUCCCUCAUCAGUUGAUACGAGUAUCACCUCUCCAGAGCCCAAAUCAGUUGAUACGAGUAGUAUCACCUCUCCCAUUCCUUCAGACUCCCAAGCACCUGCCCAUCCCACUCCAUAGCCCAGCCACCCACUCUCAUGUACCAUAUGGCCAUCCCAGUAAGCAAGCCAACCACUAGAAUUUGACUGGCAUGCACCUGUGACUUACAUAAACCAGACCUCUACAUAGCCUACAUGUCUUCAUUUUGCUGAAGACUGCCCAUCAUCCUAGCCUGUUAUCUGUGAUAAAGCACACUGAAGUUAGGUUUGGAAUGCAUCCUUAUCAUGAAUGCUCUACACCUCCACCUCCAUCUCCCAC